CAACCCUUAAGCCUAGCUUAGUAUUGGGAAUCUACUGUAUUGUAGUUCCUCAAAUCCAACGGCGGAUCUGUGGUAUCCUCUGAGCGUAGUAAAUUUUUAUCUCGCUUUUGUCAGGUGCUGCAGCUCCCAGCCGCUAAACCCCCCAAUUUUUAAU
rnacentral:misc_RNA from 1 species